UGGCUCAGAUUGAACGCUGGCGGCAUGCCUUACACAUGCAAGUCGAACGGCAGCACGGGUGCUUGCACCUGGUGGCGAGUGGCGAACGGGUGAGUAAUACAUCGGAACAUGUCCUGUAGUGGGGGAUAGCCCGGCGAAAGCCGGAUUAAUACCGCAUACGAUCUACGGAUGAAAGCGGGGGACCUUCGGGCCUCGCGCUAUAGGGUUGGCCGAUGGCUGAUUAGCUAGUUGGUGGGGUAAAGGCCUACCAAGGCGACGAUCAGUAGCUGGUCUGAGAGGACGACCAGCCACACUGGGACUGAGACACGGCCCAGACUCCUACGGGAGGCAGCAGUGGGGAAUUUUGGACAAUGGGCGAAAGCCUGAUCCAGCAAUGCCGCGUGUGUGAAGAAGGCCUUCGGGUUGUAAAGCACUUGUUGUCCGGAAAGAAAUCCUUGGUUCUAAUAUAACCGGGGGAUGACGGUACCGGAAGAAUAAGCACCGGCUAACUACGUGCCAGCAGCCGCGGUAAUACGUA
rnacentral:rRNA from 1 species